UCUCCCCAGUCUCCCAGGCUGCAGUCCCGUCCUUUUAGUUUCCUUUCUGGCAGUUUUAGCUUUGAUCCUCCUCGGCCUCCUUCCUGUGAUAUAGGAGGCGGCCAUGGAAAGAAACACGGAAGCAUUUCGGAGGAGAGCUCAGAUCUCGGGAAAUGAAUUCAUCACAGCCAGCAUUUCUAUGGCCUUCAGGGAUUCAUCACCAUUACCUUACUGGGUUGAUGCUCCAUUUUACAGAUGGGGAAAGUAAGGCAGAGAUGCAGUGACUUCUCCAGAGUCACACAACCACCAGUUGUCUCAGGUGGGAUUCCACCUCAGAUCUUCUUGAUUCUAUCCACAUUUCCCUUUAUUUCCAGGGGUUCAAAUAAAGGUACUGUGGAGUCAAACCUA